UUGUAAAACUCUUUCGUCGGGGAAGAAAAUGACUGUACCCGAAUAAGAAGGUCCGGCUAACUUCGUGCCAGCAGCCGCGGUAAUACGAAGGGACCUAGCGUAGUUCGGAAUUACUGGGCUUAAAGAGCUCGUAGGUGGUUAAAAAAGUUGAUGGUGAAAUCCCAAGGCUCAACCUUGGAACUGCCAUCAAAACUUUUUAGCUAGAGUGUGAUAGAGGUAAGUGGAAUUUCUAGUGUAGAGGUGAAAUUCGUAGAUAUUAGAAAGAACACCAAAUGCGAAGGCAACUUACUGGGUCACUACUGACACUGAGGAGCGAAAGCAUGGGUAGCGAAGAGGAUUAGAUACCCUCGUAGUCCAUGCCGUANACGAUGUGUGCUAGACGUUGGAAAUAUAUUUUUCAGUGUCGCAGCGAAAGCAUUAAGCACACCGCCUGGGGAGUACGACCGCAAGGUUAAAACUCAAAUGAAUUGACGGGGACCCGCACAAGCAGUGGAGCAUGGGGUUUAAUUCGAAGAUACGCGCAGAACCUUACCCAACACUUGACAUGUUCGUCGCGAGACUAAGAGAUUAGUCUUUUCAGUUCGGCUGGACGAAACACAGGUGCUGCAUGGCUGUCGUCAGCUCGUGUCGUG
rnacentral:rRNA from 1 species